UAGGGAAUCUUCGGCAAUGGACGGAAGUCUGACCGAGCAACGCCGCGUGAGUGAAGAAGGUUUUCGGAUCGUAAAGCUCUGUUGUAAGAGAAGAACGAGUGUGAGAGUGGAAAGUUCACACUGUGACGGUAUCUUACCAGAAAGGGACGGCUAACUACGUGCCAGCAGCCGCGGUAAUACGUAGGUCCCGAGCGUUGUCCGGAUUUAUUGGGCGUAAAGCGAGCGCAGGCGGUUAGAUAAGUCUGAAGUUAAAGGCUGUGGCUUAACCAUAGUACGCUUUGGAAACUGUUUAACUUGAGUGCAAGAGGGGAGAGUGGAAUUCCAUGUGUAGCGGUGAAAUGCGUAGAUAUAUGGAGGAACACCGGUGGCGAAAGCGGCUCUCUGGCUUGUAACUGACGCUGAGGCUCGAAGGCGUGGGGAGCGAACAGGAUUAGAUACCCUGGUAGUCCACGCCGUAAACGAUGAGUGCUAGGUGUUGGAUCCUUUCCGGGAUUCAGUGCCGCAGCUAACGCAUUAAGCACUCCGCCUGGGGAGUACGACCGCAAGGUUG
rnacentral:rRNA from 1 species